CCUCAGUCCUAAACGGUGCACCCAGUACGAGCGGUUUUGAAAAUUCAUAAGUUCUUUGCUUAAAAAAAAAAAGCCCAUGACAAAGCAUUAUGAGGUUGCAGUGAGUCUGAGUUUCAGGGCCUGGACUAAGGUUAAUUAUUCUCUCGGGGCCUGAUUAUGCCACCUUUACUCAUGCUGAAUACUUGGUCACGUGCACAAUCCAUUCCAGUGAGUAAUGGGCCUAUCGUCUGUGAUGCACUGUGUUGUUCAAAGGAUGCAGAAUAUGAAACAGAUGGCUCAGGAAGCCCAGCAGAAAGACCUGCUGGGCCCUUUCUGAUGUCACCUUAAAGCCAGAAAGGAUGGGUGCCUAAAAGCGAGGUGCCACAGUUCUGAGUAUCGCAACACCCUAGUCCUUUUGUGGAUUUGGGCCUUAUAGUUUUAAGGAUAAGUUUGGGGAGGAAGAAUGGUCUUGUGGUUAAAGCACAGGACAGAAAAUCAGAAGAUCUGGUAACUGUUCCUGUGUCAGACACCUUGAGCCAAUCAUCUACCUUCUCUAUAACUCAAGUUUUCUCAUCUGUAAAAAAGGAAUCAUUUCACUAUAACUCAGGCAAAUUAUUAGACUU